UUUGAUUUUCAGUUGAGGUUAUCGCAGUUUGUCAACAAGCAAAGUGUUGCUUACUUGACAAUUUCUGAUCAAGACAAAUCAUAUGGGCAUAUACUUGGAGUACCAAAGUUAAGAGCAAGGCUUCAGAAACCGCAGACUGCGCUUGUUGUUGUCUCUGAGGAUCACUCACAAAUCAGUGAUCUCCAAAAAGCUCCUAAAGACACGUUUCCAAUUGGCAACUCAUGUUUUCAUAUAUCAGGAAAGGAUGGAAGAAAGCCAGUAGUCUCAUUUUGUAACCGCCCAUUUAGCAGAGAUAUUGAAGUCAUUUCAUCAUCAAAUUCAAAAAGGACUCGGAUCAGCAUAUCAUCGUUUAUGGUCCCUUAUGUCCUCGUUGCUUCUUUCCUUUAUCCUCAAUUCAUUUUGCCUGAAAUAAUCCCUAAAAUUUCUGGAAACUAAUCAUUAACAGUUUUCCUCCUAUUAUUCUUCACGGAAGCAAUAUUCUAUUGUGGAGUUGCAGUUUUUCUUCUUCUGCUAGACCGUUUAAUGAGACCCAAACAACUGGAUCCUUCUGCAAACAACAGUGAUACUCCGAGCCUACAAUUGGAACAGCGAAUCUCUUUUGAUACUGCCCUGGUGAUGCUUA